rnacentral:tRNA from 1 species
UUUUCCUAGUAUAUAAGUACAUUUAACUUCCAAUUAAAAAGUCUCAUAAGAAGAAGAAAAA